AUUUGACCCUAGUGACAUGAUAAGGUGGAUGCUGAAUAACCUCUCUCCCUUCUUUCUUUUCUCUUCUAGUGUGAAGAGUGGCCAGAUUAGAAAUCUGGAGUCUGCCCGUGUCUCCAUGGUUGGCCAAGUCAAAGAGUGUGAAGGAAUUACAAGUCCAGAAGGCUCAAAAUCUGUAGUGGAAGGAAUCAUAGAGGAAGACGAAGAUGAUGAAGAAGGAAGUGAAUCAGUAAA